rnacentral:lncRNA from 1 species
UUUUGAUACAUAUGCAGCUAGAGUCAAGAGCUCCAGGGUACUGGUUAGUUCAUAUUGUUGUUCCACCUAUAGGGUUGCUUUGAGGCUUGAAUGAAUCCCAUAUGAUAAGGCCCCACACCAGAGUUUUAGUUGAGUUUGCUCUUUCAAACUUGAUACCGUAAUGUACUGCAUCAACGUGAGAGCUUGUGAAUUUAUUUGCUAAUAAUAACUAUUAGAAAUUCAGCAAAGCCUUGAUCAACACUAUCCUCUUAAGGAUAUAUUGGAGAAUAUCAUGAGUCCUUUGAAGGAGAUAGUUCUCAGGUGAAGAAAGAUGCUAUUUCAAAGUAGAUGGUUAAAGUUUGCAGUUGAAACAAAUUUCUGUACAUUAUGAUGGAACUGGAGUGGCUUUAUACUGACUUCAUAGCCUGAAUGUAUUUCAUGAAAUAAUAAUUUUAAGCAAAUAAGCACAGGCACCAAAAUUGUUGGCUUGUUCUCAGUUAAAAUUUGGAAUUUAUGUGGCUGACUCAUAAAUAAUUCAUCAUUGAUAUAAACACUGCUACUUUUCAUUAAAAAAAAUCUUUUUCCAGGUCUCAGAAAUCAUUUUUGCAGCUUAUUUUUUAUUGCACAAAAGCUCGUCAUAGAUUAAUCAGUAGAGGAAAAUUUAGGUAUCAGGUGUUUUUAAAAAUAUUACAUUUUAAGGGCUUGCUGUUUAAAGUGAGAAUUUAAAUAUGAUUUAAAAUAUUUUUUCAGAGGGUGGAUAAAUGAUAAUAAAAUCUUGGGACUUAACAUUCUUAAAGCCAACAUCACCUCAAAAGACUUUCAUUUCUUUGCAGCUCCAGGUCAAAACUGUAAUAACCAUAUUACUUUUUGUUUUCAUUUUGGAGAGAAAGAUUUGUUGUUUGAAAUACAUGCAAAUGGAUGCUAAGAUCAGAAACGUCUUGCAGAAGUUAAUUUAUAAAGAUGUCUUCUAGAAAAACUCGUCUGCUAGGCUAUGUCUUUGAGCAAAGCACCACUUGGCCAGCCAAGGUUAUCCGUUUUGUCUCCUUGCCUGACAUUUUCUCUAUGAUAUAAUUCUCUCUGAGCCUCAUUUCCUAAGUCUUGAAUAUUGGCUGAAAUCUGUUAGAAGCAUUACCAUUAUUGAGAACAUUCUAAUCUAGUUUACUAAAUUUAGAGUAGAAAACAGAUCUCAGAGAGGCUGCAUGUACUUCACUGAAAGCUAUGAACAUAGUAGGAACCAAAAUGUGUGAUUCUCCCACUCAGUGUUUAUCUGUCGGUAAGCAGGCCAUUAGUACUUUUAAAUCAUGGAAGGUUUAUAAGCAGUGCAGCAAAUUAACAAAUAUAGCAGUAUGUUUGUGUCCAAAUGAUCAAUCUUUCCAAAUAAUUACCGUCAAGGGAUAUGAGGGCAUUCUAAAAUCCUCUUUGAGAAAUGAAUUUUAUGACAUUGAUAUAAUAACUUAUUAAUCACUUAAUAGUUCUUGAGGGUCUAUUUUGUGUUGGGCACUGCAAAUAAAGAGGCAAGAGCCAAUGUGUCCUUGUUCUUAAGGCAGCUGGAAGCAAUGAGAAUUAAAAGGAUAAAUUAAUAGGAAACACAAUUAGCAAAAUUGAAAGAUUGACUAGACUCGGGUUUAUAAGAGGAGGCAGAGAAGGUGAAGAUUAAUUCAUUAACAGUGAUUUCCAUUGUUUCUAUGAGUCACUGUACUAGGUUUUAUUAAAACUACUCCUCAAACCAACCUUAUUAUAUAAUAUUAUUAUCUCAUUAGACAAGCAAAUGGACACUCAAAAGUGUUAAGUCACAAAGUCACAGGGCUAGAACAUAAUGUAGGAAGGCAAUCUAUAGUCUUUUUUUUUCUGAAACAUGGUUUCUCUAUCUAUCCCUGACUGUGCUGGAACUCUGUCUCUGUCUCUGUCUCUGUCUCUGUCUCUGUCUCUGUCUCUGUCCCUCUCUGUCCCUCUCUGUCUCUCUCUGUCUCUGUCUCUCUGUCUCUCUCUGUCUCUCUCUCUCUCUCUCUCUCUCUCUCUCUCUCUCUCUCUCUCUCUCUCUCUCUCUCUCAACUGACUAGACUGGCAUCUAACUCAGAGAUGCCCCUGCCUCUCCCUCCCAAAUCCUGGGAUUAAAGGCAUGCACAACUACACCCAGCUAUAGUCCACUUCUUAAAAGUGUACUAAAUGGACUAUUUUCAGCCAGUAACAGGAAGAUGACACAGAUGCUGGUAAUUCCUUAAAUUAUGUUGCUGAGUAAGGUCCCAGGAACAUAGUCUGUGUAAGUACACUUUAUGGAAUUUGCACACUGAUAAAUUUGCCUAAUACUCUCAGAGAAUAUCAUCAUAACUAAGUGAUAUGAUAAAUGACUGAUUUCUAGAAUACAUCUACUGUUAAGGAGAAGAUACAUCUGUGAGAAAGGGACAGGGAUAACCAUGUCAUUUGUUUAGACAGAGUCAAGCUCUCCUUGUAUGAGGGAGGAAGUGUUUGCUGCCAUCAUUGGAAGCUAUGCACAUGUCAGUUCACAAGAUCAAAGACUACACUGAAUAGCCAAGGGGAUGGCCUGCAGUGCACACACUGGCUUUUGAGGAAAUAAGGACAGAAAAUAAGCCAAGAGAGCUUGUGAAAAUGUAAAAGUCAGAAGGGAGUGAGAAUAAAACACACGGCCCUUGUGUUGC